rnacentral:rRNA from 1 species
AUGCCGCCGGAUCCAGGGACAGGGCAUCGCACCCUGCAGCCGCCGUUCAAGUCGAGCGCGGGGGCGGCGAAUGCCGGUGCUCCUCUACUUCCUCGACCUCCAAGGACGCAGGCCCCGGAUUCGUGCUCGCCUUCUUCCUCCACCAGCCUUGGUGCCCAACUCCCUACAACCGCCGUCGCCGUCGCCGUCGUGGACUCCCAGGCGAGGAGCAUGAGGACCGAGCUCGAGCGCGACCAUGACGCAGCGCACAAGGUCCCUGUUUCCUGCACAAGUAUACACAACACCUUGCUUGGUUGGGGAGCAGCAACAUCAAGGUUGUUGAACAAACAGCAAUAUCAAGACGUUGAACAAAUAGCAACAUCAGUUGCUGAUAGCGUGCUGAAUUACUCACCAUGA